GGAGAAAAGCAGGGGAUCGCAAGACCUUGCGCUAAAGGAGCGGCCGAUGUCUGAUUAGCUAGUUGGUGGAGUAAAGGCUUACCAAGGCAACGAUCAGUAGUUGGUCUGAGAGGACGACCAACCACACUGGGACUGAGACACGGCCCAGACUCCUACGGGAGGCAGCAGUGGAGAAUUUUGGACAAUGGACGAAAGCCUGAUCCAGCCAUGCCGCGUGAGUGAAGAAGGCCUUCGGGUUGUAAAGCUCUUUUAGUCGGAAAGAAAAGAUCAUAAUGAACAAUUAUGAUUCAUGACGGUACCGACAGAAAAAGCACCGGCUAACUACGUGCCAGCAGCCGCGGUAAUACGUAGGGUGCGAGCGUUAAUCGGAAUUACUGGGCGUAAAGGGUGCGCAGGCGGUUUUGUAAGUCAGAUGUGAAAUCCCCGGGCUUAACCUGGGAAUUGCGUUUGAAACUACAAAGCUAG
rnacentral:rRNA from 1 species